CGUCCUACCUGAAGCACCCUCAAAUUUUAUUCGAGGUGAACUCUCUCAAAUUCCGUAUCGGUGAAUACAUGUGAUUAGUGGAAAAAAGGCAAAAUGUUAGAUUGAAAUCUUGUCAAAAAUGACAAUUCCACAAUUUCGAUUUCAAAAACAAAACAUUCAAUUUGGGAUUCUACAAAUCAAAAACCUUAACGAUUAAGAGCUACAAGUGCAUUUAAUUGAAAAAAAAAUAGACCAGGAACCAGAAGAAAACAAUGAGACUUACUCUACUCGGAGCACAAGUAGGUACAUUUUAAAAAAGAAUCUCGUAAACAAAAGAAUAUUUAUGUUGUUUGUUUCAAUUAUUGAUUGAUCCAAAAAUAUACUUAACUGCCAACUCAAGAAGAUGUACAUAACAAUAAAAACUUUUAGCAUCUCCUUAAAGUUUUCAUUUCGGGUGUUGCCGAUUACAAACCAUGAUACAGAAAGCAAUUUCUCUAAAGAAAUUUAGGAGGUUUGCUCAAAAUAAGGGCUGGUUUCAUAGAGUGCAACAGCACAUGAGGUUCAGUUGUCUUCUAGAUCUAAAUCGAUGCUUGUAACGCCAAAUAUCUCACUAAAGAAGGCAAGGACACUGCUGACCGAGUCAUCGGCAACUGCGGCCACUUAAGCCGACGCAAACCACGUAGAUUAUGAAAUGAAUGUUGACAUUGAAGCAACUUGCUGGGAGAACACCUCCUUAAUGACGGGACUCAAAAAUCAUUGGUAAGUCUUUUGAAUAAUGAAAAUCUAAUUAUUUUCGUAUGCACGUUUUAGAAUUUUCUUAUAUAGACAGAAAAAAUAUAAGCCGAAUUCCUAAAUACACAAUGCUUAUUGAAUCACCAAAAGAAUUAACUGGAAUCACAUAGAAGACCAUUGACACAUGAACCAUUCAAAUGAUGUUUUAAAAAUUUCCCGUCACCUUCACCCGCCGAAAAUUUCUAAAAAUAAUACAAGCGGAAAUUGUGCAUUCAUGACAUUGUCCGAUUGGGAUUUUGGAAUUUGCCUCGCAAAAGAAUGUCACAAACAACUUGCCACAAUUUUUUAAUCAACGAAUCAAAUUACCAGCGAGAGUUUUAUAAUUAUAAACCAAUCAGCUUGCUACAAUUUAAUUGUGCGUCCAUUGACCAGAAGGUUUAUGAUGGCAAGACUGC